ensembl:lncRNA
AUUACCUCAGUGGCGCUCCCCGGGCGGCCGUGCGCGGCGCUGUGGGGUCCGCACCUGUCCCGUCUUUUCUGACUUCUUUUUUUUUUUUUGGAUUCCUUCCUAAGCAGAUCCCACGCUGAUGAUAUUGAUGUACGUGGGGGAGGGAAUGGAGGAAUGACUGCCCUAAGCAAAAGGAAGCACGGAGAGCUAGAGCUUGGCCUUUGCCAUUAUCCUGCAAUAAAACACACUGCAGAAGCCCGGUAUAAAGUUCCAGGUCACAGAGCCAGCUCUCACAGAUGUUACACAGGUCUGACAAACUAGGACUGGUGCCUCUGGCCUGUUCAUAGCAAGACAACAGUGUUUUCAAUGGGCAUAGGUGUGAGCUAUCAGGUGAAGUUCCAUACCAGUGCAUCCCUCCUGCAUGUAAGCUCUGCUGACCAUUGCUUUCAGUCUGGUGUUUCACAAGCAGAAUGAUGUAGAAAGGUUCAAAACUUGUGAGCGCUCUGAUGGAGGGCAAUCUUAGGAGUGAAAUUAUAUGUUAUAAUGCUUGAUUGAAGUAUAUCAGCUUUGAUAAACGUUUCGAGCACUGAUAGACCUGAUAAUCAAAUGCUUGCAAUGCUCCUGGUGAUGGUAUGUAUGUGAACUGCCACAUCACGUCAGGUGCCAGGGAUCAAAAGUCACAGACUUUGAAAUGCCACAAUUACUCGUGAUGAUGACUUAUUUUCAUCUUGCAGUCCUUGUAUAGCAAACAUAAGCCCUGUUGUUUCUCUUGCUGUAACAAUAAACAAACUGCUCAUG